rnacentral:misc_RNA from 1 species
UCUUCAAAUGUUUGCUCUCAAGUCCCUCCACAUUCCACUACCUGGAAGGCAUCCAGCCUCUCCUUGUUUAUCGUAUAACUUGAGACCUCAUGGUAUUUAGUUAAUCCUUUCAUACAUGAAAUCUCGUAAUCUGAAUUUGAUCUUUAGGACAUUCAUUGAGAAAAGGAAAAUUCUUUGGAUUUGAGCAAUUAAGAUAUCUAGAAAGAAUUUUCCUCCUUCAGUGUAGAACUGAUGCUUGGGUGACGU